GGAUCCAGCACUUUGAUUCUGGCUCAGGACGAACGCUGGCGGCGUGCUUAACACAUGCUGGUCUAACGAGAAGAGAUAAGAAGCUUGCUUCUUAUCGAUUCUAGUGGCAAACGGGUGAGUAACGCGUAAGCAACCUGCCCUCUAGAUGGGGACAACAUCUGGAAACGGCUGCUAAUACCGAAUACGUUCUUUCUGUCGCAUGGCAGAAGGAAGAAAGGGAGGCUCUUCUGAGCUUUCUCUGGAGGAGGGGCUUGCGUCUGAUUAGCUAGUUGGAGGGGUAACGGCCCACCAAGGCGACGAUCAGUAGCCGGUCUGAGAGGAUGAACGGUCACACUGCGACUGACACACGGUCCGGACUCCUACAGGAGGCAG
rnacentral:rRNA from 1 species